rnacentral:lncRNA from 1 species
CCCCACCCCCAUCAUAGCCUGUCUGUGUCCUCUCUGGACUCUCCCAGAUGUCCCUGUGUCUGUCUACAUUCUCCCUUCUAUCUACAGUAACCUAUCUCCUCCACCAUACAUAAGAGCAAUCAUGUAACUUUCCUUCCCUUUUUCUUUCUUUUCUUCUUUCUUUCUUUUUUUUUUAAAUUCAGCGAGUCAUCAGAGAGGCAGUUACAGCAAGAUGGUGAAUCUCCCAUAGACCCCCAAGAUGCCACGUGAUGACGUUCUCAGCUUUCGUUGGGGCCGGUGGUCUGUUAAUAGGUUCCAAAGGGUUUUUAAUCUGUUAGUUACAAGAUGUUAAUUCCAAAACAUAGAUGGGCAAGGGCUGGCUGUCCAGGGAGCUAAAGCUGGCCUGAGAGAAGGUCCUCAGCAUUGCGACCUGUUCGCACCACUGCGGUUCUCAUUGGUUAAUCUUUACGCACACAGCUUCUUUCCGAAUGUUCUUGUCCACAUAAGAAAACAAUACCGCUUUUGCUUAUUGCUCAUACAAGGCGCUCAUUGAAUCGGCAACUCUGCCCCACCCAGCUACCGAACGGCCAGGCAGCUGAAACCAGCCCGCACAGCAGCCUUGUCUGAAACUCGAGGUCAGGGAUGGUGGUGGAAGGAGAGGGGGACGCUGGGAAAUCCUCACAUGUACCACUUUAGCUCCUAUUUUGUCUGUCGGUCAGGAUGAAUCCCUUGGCUCUUUCCAACCGCUGGAGGUGGAGAACUGCUGCGUCGGUUGGGCCUGGAAGGGGAAAGAAACUGGAUAUAGAAAUAAUUUCUGCCAUACCCCAUUCUCAGUGACCUGGAACUUUGGAUGAUUUCCUAGAACAAUGUAAGAAACCGAUCUCAAGAGGCAAAGCUAAGGCUACAUAACAAGCAGUCACGCCCUGAGGUCCCACGCCAAGGCUGGAGUCUCGGAGUGAGAAGCGUCAGAGAGCUG